GCUUCCUUGCGCGUUAAACGGCGCUGUUGUGGCCUCCUGUUGCUUUUCUCGCCAUGCUGCCUUUAUUAGAAUCGGGACUCUAAUAUAUCAGCUCACUAGUGUUGGGUGGGUGACUGCAUUUUAGAGCACUAUAUUUAAAUACUGGCGUGGAUUAUAGACGCUGCUUUUCUUUUUUUUCAGGUGCCCAGUUUUUUUCUCCUGUCCUGUUUUCUCACAUUACAUGUGGCAACAUAGAUUUAGUGCUGUGUGAGUGUGGCCUUGCAAAUUGUGUGACAGUUUGUUAUCUAUAGGUAUGAGUUUUAUAUUUAUAUUUACAUUUUAGGCUGAGACAUUUCCACCAUAGCCGGACAGGGCAAUAUCAUGUGUAUAUCAACUGUCCUUGCAUUCACAAGCUGGAAGAAACUUCUGAGUCACAGAUGUAGAACACACAUCACGUUAGAAACAGCAGGUGCUCAGUCCAUUACAUUUUCACGUCAGACAUAAUUUCAUGCUUUUAAUAUUUUUGUGAGGCUUUAAUGUUAAUAAAGCUGUUGAAUCAA